rnacentral:rRNA from 1 species
GACGUAGGGCGCGAGCGUUGUCCGGAUUUAUUGGGCGUAAAGAGCUCGUAGGCGGCUUGUCGCGUCGACUGUGAAAGCCCGAGGCUCAACUUCGGGCUUGCAGUCGAUACGGGCAGGCUAGAGUUCGGUAGGGGAGACUGGAAUUCCUGGUGUAGCGGUGAAAUGCGCAGAUAUCAGGAGGAACACCGAUGGCGAAGGCAGGUCUCUGGGCCGAUACUGACGCUGAGGAGCGAAAGCGUGGGGAGCGAACAGG